CGGACCGGCGCACGGGUGAGUAACACGUAUCCAACCUGCCGUCUACUCUUGGACAGCCUUCUGAAAGGAAGAUUAAUACAAGAUGGCAUCAUGAGUCCGCAUGUUCACAUGAUUAAAGGUAUUCCGGUAGACGAUGGGGAUGCGUUCCAUUAGAUAGUAGGCGGGGUAACGGCCCACCUAGUCUUCGAUGGGUAGGGGUUCUGAGAGGAAGGUCCCCCACAUUGGAACUGAGACACGGUCCAAACUCCUACGGGAGGCAGCAUG
rnacentral:rRNA from 1 species